CACCACCAUUUCUUUUUAUUUUGAUUACAUGUUCAUUUAAGGAAAAACAAAAUUUGACAGUUUAUAAAUUAAACAAUUAACUGACUCAUCAAACCGUCAAAACAUUAAGCCGUGGCCAACGAGAUAAACGACAGCGACAAAUGUCAGUUUAAAAAGAAAAAUAAAAUGCCCCGGGAGACGAAUAAUUCAGAAGCCGCUGUGACAAUGCAGAGGUGAACAGUAAAUGUAUAACGUGACCUAUAAAAGAGAGCACAAGGACACGGACACGGAGCAACGUUUUUACGCUUAUCGAGCACGCCUAUACGAACACAAGAGGACAUUAAAUAUGAAAUAGCUGACACAGCCUCACCAGCACGUCGCACACGCCAGCUAAGCUACCGGUCGCCUUCACCGCGACCCCGAUACCUGGCCCCGCUCAAUCGGUAUCACCAGGCUAGGGGUCGUGGGGUUGGGAAACGAUCGGUAGCGAAGAGCUGGCCCACACCAGCCACAAACACCGUCCCUCAAAUGACGGCCAAUUGACCCAUGAUUAAAGCUCGGUUUGUAUCGGCUCGACAUCGGCUACAUCGGCGUGGUGAUUGUAGAGGGUUUACAUUCAAUAUAUCAAGACCAAGAAGCACAUUCGUUUAAAAUGCUCUUCGCAAAGUGUUGAAACCUUGUGUUCGCAUAGAUCGAAGCUCUAUAUCCCAGUCAACGAGGAGUUUUAUGCAAAAUGUAUUCACAUUUUAAUUCGAAGUAUCAUUGAGAUCGAUCAAACUGAUAUGAUUUAUUUUACAACGUCAAGUGAUAUUUUAUAUAGGCAUGAUUUUAUGGUUAUGAAAUUUAUUUUCUAUUAAAA